rnacentral:rRNA from 1 species
AUUGAACGCUGGCGGCAGGCUUAACACAUGCAAGUCGAGCGGAGCGAGGGUGCUUGCACCUUAGCUUAGCGGCGGACGGGUGAGUAAUGCUUAGGAAUCUGCCUAUUAGUGGGGGACAACAUUCCGAAAGGAAUGCUAAUACCGCAUACGCCCUACGGGGGAAAGCAGGGGAUCUUCGGACCUUGCGCUAAUAGAUGAGCCUAAGUCGGAUUAGCUAGUUGGUGGGGUAAAGGCCUACCAAGGCGACGAUCUGUAGCGGGUCUGAGAGGAUGAUCCGCCACACUGGGACUGAGACACGGCCCAGACUCCUACGGGAGGCAGCAGUGGGGAAUAUUGGACAAUGGGCGGAAGCCUGAUCCAGCCAUGCCGCGUGUGUGAAGAAGGCCUUUUGGUUGUAAAGCACUCUAAGCGAGGAGGAGGCUCUUAAGGUUAAUACCCUUGAUGAGUGGACGUUACUCGCAGAAUAAGCACCGGCUAACUCUGUGCCAGCAGCCGCAGUAAAAC